ACAACACAGUUCGAUAGCCCUUUUGGUCCUAGAUUCCAGAACGAAGGACAACCACCAACCAACGGGUGGAUGGACCGGAUCUUCAGUAUGUACGGGGAGGUAAUGGACUGAGCGGUCUCGCACUGUACUUGUUUGUGUGAGGCCCACGCCCCUCGUGCCCUGAGUUCUCAUUGGGGCGGCCCCACAUUUCAUUGGCUCAGAGUUGGCUCUCUGAGCCAAUGACAGAGCCUUCUGAGAGUUACACUAAUGAGCCUAGCCCGGGCAGAGUAGACUCCGGCCGAGCUUGAGCGGACUUAUUUAGUCCAGCCUUCUAUAGCAUGCCCGUCCUGGAGCCCUCCGUCCCUCUCCGGCAGCCCCGCCCAGCUUGGGACUGCUCACCUCGUGAGGGAACGCUCUUUACAUUAAAAGGAAAGCUUUAAUUCCAUCCACUGAACUCAGCUCCAGACCUGGGGCCAAGAAGGGUUCAGUCUCCGGCGCCGUCUGCUAAAGCCUGAUGGGACUGAAGGAGGUCCGAGCUCCCAGCCGCCCUGUUCUGUCGCGCCUUCUUUCCUCCCCGCGGCACUCUCAGCGAACAGGAACCGAAUGAACCAGCGAGACGGUAGGUCCUUCCUUGUAAUCUGGAUCCCUGCUGCUGGAUCAGAUUUUCUUCCAUUCAGAUUGUUCCUGAUUUCCUUGGGGCUUCCUUUUGUGAUUUCCUGCUUCCUGCCAAAUGGACACUUAACGCAUAUUUCUUCAAACUAUGGGAAACUUCACUGAUGGUCAUUAGAAAUACCUGCCCCAUUCUCUAUCCAACCCAAGACUUUCUCACAAAGUUCCCAAAAAAGUAAACAGGAGAUGGAGGAUUUAGGGUUGAGCUCCUGGGUAUUACCAGCAGGUUAGUGAUUAUAAAUAUCUCUUUUUCCUCAGUAACUCAGCCAAAAUUUUAUCUAAAUCCUGCUUGAAUCUCAUUUGAUUUUGCCACCCUCUGAAAUAAGAUCUAUAAGUCUACUUGGGAAAUAGGAAUUCCUUUUGCUUGCCUAUAGUUUUCUUUUUUGGGUUUUAAAAAGAGUUACAGAUUUUACUUUUGUGGCUACAUAAACAAACCUGUACCUACUUCUGAUCAUAUCCUCUUUCAACCUAGGUAGAGAUGAUUAUAUAUAUAUAUAACCUAGAUCAGAUUGUUUGCUAUCUUGGGGAGGGAGGAGAUAAGGAAGGGAUGAAAAAAAUUUUUAGAAUUUAAAAUCUUACAAAAAUGAAUAUUGAAAACUAUCUUUACAUGCAAUUAGAAAAAUAAAAUAUUGUUGAAUUCAACUCAUAUAGAGUGCUACAAGUCACCAUUGCUUUCAUUGAAUUUACAUAGCCAAGCUUGGAGAGAUUACUA